rnacentral:rRNA from 1 species
ACGGGUGCAGCAGCGCGAAAACUUCGCAAUGCGGGAAACGUGACGAGGGAUCCCGAGUGCUCAUACAAUGUAUGGGCUUUUCUGAUGUGUAAAAAGUAUUAGGAAUAAGGGCUGGGUAAGACCGGUGCCAGCCGCCGCGGUAAUACCGGGCAGCUCUAGUGGUAGCCACUUUUAUUGGGCUAAAGCGUCCGUAGCCGGUCAGGUAAAUCCUUGGGUAAAUCGUACAGCUUAAACUGUGCGGCUUCCGGGGAGACUGCUUGACUUAGGACCGGGAGAGGUUGGAGGUACUCCUGGGGUAGGGGUGAAAUCCUGUAAUCCUAGGUGGACCACCGGUGGCGAAGGCGUCCAACCAGAACGGCUCCGACGGUGAGGGACGAAGGCUAGGGGCGCAAACCGGAUUAGAUACCCGGGUAGUCCUAGCUGUAAACGCUGCAGACUUGGUGUUGGAGAUCCUGCGAGGGUGUCCAGUGCCGGAGAGAAGUUGUUAAGUUUGCCGCCUGGGAAGUAUGGCCGCAAGGCUGAAACUUAAAGGAAUUGGCGGGGGAGCACCGCAACGGGAGGAGCGUGCGGUUUAAUUGGAUUCAACGCCGGAAAACUCACCGGGGGCGACGGUUAUAUGAAGGCCAGUUUGAAGACAUUGCCUGAUUUUCCGAGAGGUGGUGCAUGGCCGUCGUCAGUUCGUACCGCAAGGCGUUCUGUUAAGUCAGAUAACGAACGAGACCCCUGUCCUUAUUUGCUAAGUUAUCCUUUGGGAUGACAGCACUAUAGGGAGACCGCCACUGCUAAAGUGGAGGAAGGAGGGGGCAACGGUAGGUCAGUAUGCCCCGAAUCCCCCGGGCCACACGCGCGCUACAAAGGAUAGGACAAUGGGCUCCGACACCGAAAGGUGAAGGCAAUCCCGAAACCUAUUCAUAGUUCGGAUUGAGGGCUGUAACCCGCCCUCAUGAAGCUGGAUUCCGUAGUAAUCGCGGGUCAACAUCCCGCGGUGAAUAUGCCCCUGCUCCUUGCACACACCGCCCGUCAAACCAUCCGAGUUGGGUCUAAGUGAGGGCUUCUCUUUUUGGGGAGUC